rnacentral:rRNA from 1 species
AGUGAACGCUGGCGGUAGGCCUAACACAUGCAAGUCGAACGGCAGCACAGUAAGAGCUUGCUCUUACGGGUGGCGAGUGGCGGACGGGUGAGGAAUACAUCGGAAUCUACUUUUUCGUGGGGGAUAACGUAGGGAAACUUACGCUAAUACCGCAUACGACCUACGGGUGAAAGCAGGGGAUCUUCGGACCUUUCGCGAUUGAAUGAGCCGAUGUCGGAUUAGCUAGUUGGCGAGGUAAAGGCCCACCAAGGCGACGAUCCGUAGCUGGUCUGAGAGGAUGAUCAGCCACACUGGAACUGAGACACGGUCCAGACUCCUACGGGAGGCAGCAGUGGGGAAUAUUGGACAAUGGGCGCAAGCCUGAUCCAGCCAUACCGCGUGGGUGAAGAAGGCCUUCGGGUUGUAAAGCCCUUUUGUUGGGAAAGAAAAGCAGCAGGUUAAUACCCCGCUGUUCUGACGGUACCCAAAGAAUAAGCACCGGCUAACUUCGUG